GACGUAGGGUGCAAGCGUUGUUCGGAGUUACUGGGCGUAAAGCGUGCGUAGGCGGUGGUCCAAGUCUGGUGUGAAAUCUCCCGGCUCAACUGGGAGGGUGCGCCGGAAACUGGGCCGCUGGAGUAUGGGAGAGGCAAGCGGAAUUCCCGGUGUAGCGGUGAAAUGCGUAGAUAUCUGGAGGAACACCCGUGGUGCAGACGGCUUGCUGGACCAUGACUGACGCUGAGGCACGAAAGCGUGGGUAGCAAACAGG
rnacentral:rRNA from 1 species